rnacentral:tRNA from 1 species
GUCUCCGUGGCGUAACGGUAGCACACUCGGCGCAUAUUCGAGAGGUCCGGGUUCGAGUCCCGGCGAGUGCA